CGAAUAUCAAGAAGUCAAGUAUGCAUAACACUCAUCGAAACAAGUAAGGAGCAUUCAAAUUAUUGCUCUAAAGGCUCAAUCCUCACUAUAUGAGUGGCUUUCAAAAAAAAUUGAUCACUUUGCACAUUCGUCAUCCUCAAACACAUAUGGGUUUCAACACAUUUUUGUAUCAUCCAAGAAAACAACCAAACAAUCCAUAUCAAUAUGCUCAUCCUAACAAAUCAAAAUGCCCGCAUGAAAAGUUGCCAUAGACAAAAAAAAGGGAAAAAUUGCACCUAAAUACACAAACUUUGCCAAAAAUCCAUAUUUGACGCGAAGUUAGGAUUUUAC
rnacentral:lncRNA from 1 species